rnacentral:rRNA from 1 species
CCUACGGGAGGCAGCAGUGGGGAAUAUUGCGCAAUGGGCGAAAGCCUGACGCAGCGACGCCGCGUGAGGGAUGAAGGUCUUCGGAUCGUAAACCUCUGUCAGCAGGGAAGAACGGUCACUGUGCUAAUCAGCAGUGAAUUGACGGUACCUGCAAAGGAAGCACCGGCUAACUCCGUGCCAGCAGCCGCGGUAAUACGGAGGGUGCGAGCGUUAAUCGGUAUUACUGGGCGUAAAGCGCUCGUAGGCGGACUGGCAAGUCAAGGGUGAAAGCCCCGCGCUCAACGUGGGAACUGCCUUGGAAACUGGAAAACUGGAGUGUGGGAGAGGAUAGUGGAAUUGCAGGUGUAGGAGUGAAAUCCGUAGAUAUCUGGAGGAACAUCAGUGGCGAAGGCGACUAUCUGGCACAUAACUGACGCUGAGGAGCGAAAGCGUGGGUAGCAAACAGGAUUAGAUACCCGAGUAGUC